AGUACGCUCGCAAGGGUGAAACUCAAAGGAAUUGACGGGGGCCCGCACAAGCGGUGGAGCAUGUGGUUUAAUUCGAUGCAACGCGAAGAACCUUACCAGGGCUUGACAUACUGCGAAUCUUUUUGAAAGAAGAGAGUGCCUUCGGGAAUGCAGAUACAGGUGGUGCAUGGCUGUCGUCAGCUCGUGUCGUGAGAUGUUGGGUUAAGUCCCGCAACGAGCGCAACCCUUGUUUUUAGUUACCAAUUCGUUGGGUUUUCUAGAAAGACUGCCGGUGACAAACCGGAGGAAGGUGAGGAUGACGUCAAGUCAGCAUGCCCCUUAUGUCCUGGGCUACACACGUGCUACAAUGGUUAGGACAAAGAGUCGCGAGCUCGCAAGAGUCAGCUAAUCUCGUAAACCUAGCCUAAGUUCAGAUUGUAGGCUGCAACUCGCCUACAUGAAGUUGGAAUCGCUAGUAAUCGCUGGUCAGCCAUACAGCGGUGAAUCCGUUCCCGGGCCUUGUACACACCGCCCGUCACACCAUGGGAGCUGGUCAUACCCGAAACCGUUAGCUUAACCAUUCGGAGAGCGGCGUCUAAGGUAGGGCUAGUGACUGGGGUG
rnacentral:rRNA from 1 species